rnacentral:rRNA from 1 species
GGACUCUCGGCAACGGAUAUCUCGGCUCUUGCAUCGAUGAAGAACGUAGCGAAAUGCGAUACUUGGUGUGAAUUGCAAAAUCCCGUGAACCAUCGAGUCUUUGAACGCAAGUUGCGCCCGAAGCCAUUAGGCUGAGGGCACGCCUGCCUGGGUGUCUCCC